AACCGCAAGGAACCAGCUGCCGAAGGUGGGGUCAGUAAUUGGGGUGAAGUCGUAACAAGGUAGCCGUAUCGGAAGGUGCGGCUGGAUCACCUCCUUU
rnacentral:rRNA from 1 species